CUGAUGCGUUGUUGGGUAGGGGAGCGUUCUGUAAGCCUGUGAAGGUGGCCUGUGAGGGUUGCUGGAGGUAUCAGAAGUGCGAAUGCUGACAUAAGUAACGAUAAAGCGGGUGAAAAGCCCGCUCGCCGGAAGACCAAGGGUUCCUGUCCAACGUUAAUCGGGGCAGGGUGAGUCGACCCCUAAGGCGAGGCCGAAAGGCGUAGUCGAUGGGAAACGGGUUAAUAUUCCCGUACUUGGUGUUACUGCGAAGGGGGGACGGAGAAGGCUAUGUUGGCCGGGCGACGGUUGUCCCGGUUUAAGCGUGUAGGUGUGUGUUCCAGGUAAAUCCGGUUCACUUUAACACUGAGGCGUGAUGACGAGGCACUACGGUGCUGAAGCAACAAAUGCCCUGCUUCCAGGAAAAGCCUCUAAGCAUCAGGUAACAUCAAAUCGUACCCCAAACCGACACAGGUGGUCAGGUAGAGAAUACCAAGGCGCUUGAGAGAACUCGGGUGAAGGAACUAGGCAAAAUGGUGCCGUAACUUCGGGAGAAGGCACGCUGACACGUAGGUGAAGUGAUUUACUCAUGGAGCUGAAGUCAGUCGAAGAUACCAGCUGGCUGCAACUGUUUAUUAAAAACACAGCACUGUGCAAACACGAAAGUGGACGUAUACGGUGUGACGCCUGCCCGGUGCCGGAAGGUUAAUUGAUGGGGUCAGCGCAAGCGAAGCUCCUGAUCGAAGCCCCGGUAAACGGCGGCCGUAACUAUAACGGUCCUAAGGUAGCGAAAUUCCUUGUCGGGUAAGUUCCGACCUGCACGAAUGGCGUAAUGAUGGCCAGGCUGUCUCCACCCGAGACUCAGUGAAAUUGAACUCGCUGUGAAGAUGCAGUGUACCCGCGGCAAGACGGAAAGACCCCGUGAACCUUUACUAUAGCUUGACACUGAACAUUGAGCCUUGAUGUGUAGGAUAGGUGGGAGGCUUUGAAGUGUGGACGCCAGUCUGCAUGGAGCCGGCCUUGAAAUACCACCCUUUAAUGUUUGAUGUUCUAACGUGGACCCGUGAUCCGGGUUGCGGACAGUGUCUGGUGGGUAGUUUGACUGGGGCGGUCUCCUCCUAAAGAGUAACGGAGGAGCACGAAGGUUGGCUAAUCCUGGUCGGACAUCAGGAGGUUAGUGCAAUGGCAUAAGCCAGCUUGACUGCGAGCGUGACGGCGCGAGCAGGUGCGAAAGCAGGUCAUAGUGAUCCGGUGGUUCUGAAUGGAAGGGCCAUCGCUCAACGGAUAAAAGGUACUCCGGGGAUAACAGGCUGAUACCGCCCAAGAGUUCAUAUCGACGGCGGUGUUUGGCACCUCGAUGUCGGCUCAUCACAUCCUGGGGCUGAAGUAGGUCCCAAGGGUAUGGCUGUUCGCCAUUUAAAGUGGUACGCGAGCUGGGUUUAGAACGUCGUGAGACAGUUCGGUCCCUAUCUGCCGUGGGCGCUGGAGAACUGAGGGGGGCUGCUCCUAGUACGAGAGGACCGGAGUGGACGCAUCACUGGUGUUCGGGUUGUCAUGCCAAUGGCACUGCCCGGUAGCUAAAUGCGGAAGAGAUAAGUGCUGAAAGCAUCUAAGCACGAAACUUGCCCCGA
rnacentral:rRNA from 1 species